GGGGACGGAGCUCAAUUGGUAGAGCAUUCGCCUUGCACGCGAAAGGUACGGGGUUCGAUACCCCGCGCCUCCA
rfam:Selaginella moellendorffii unplaced genomic scaffold SELMOscaffold_55, whole genome shotgun sequence.